CGUUUCUACUUUCCCUCUCCCAGGACCAUCUGAGUCUGGUCACUGAGGAGCUUGGUGCAUCCCAGGCAGCUGGGCAGGCAGGCAGCCAUGGCUCAGAGGUGAUCGGCACCCUUCACUCUGAUACAGCAAAGUGUUCCAGCACAGAGAUCAGUGGCUGCUCCUGGUCAUCAUCCUGAUGGAAACACCUGGAACACUCCAGUGGACAAUAUCCUUCAAACAGCCUGGAGGCUGCUGAAAUGUGGACUUGCAAACACAACAGAUCUCAUGGGCCAGUAGGUACCUGCCUACAAGGGUCCCUCUACAAAUUGGAGGUGGUGUUGUCAUGCAUCAGCACCCAGGGGAAUGAACAUACCCUGGUUAAAAACUGCUGAAACAUCCUGAUCUAGACCAACAGAUGACUGAAGGGUGCUAAAGAGCAGCUCAUUGGUGUCUCUGCAGCUCACCAGCUCCAGCCUGCCCAGCAUCCUCGCUUUUGAGCUUCAGGCACUGGCAUGGGUGCAAGAUCUAUCAAUCACCACAGUGCUGCAGAGAACAAUGGAGAUCUCGGCACAGCAGGAGCCAAAAUGCCUGGAAAACAGUUGCUCCUUGUCCAAACAUGCAGGCUGCAUCCAUGCAAGAAGUCAGACCAGCCAAGAAGAAAGUUUUGAGAAAGGGACAGGAUCUGCAUUAAUCUUUAUCUGAUAGUGAGGGUUCCUGCUUUCUUGUGAGCUCAAAUUUGGCAUUAAUUAAAUGUACACCUUUCUCCACAGAAAUAAGUACACUGAUAUACAGCAUGGGAUUUGAGUGCAAGCUGACAGGCCAUGGUGGCUUGGGUGAAAGGUGGAGAGACCUGUGAUGACAAACAGCCCUUGCAUGCAGGACAAAAAUCUGGGUAACACUGGGGAGCCACAAUGAUGGCCAAAAUAAUGUGUAAAACCCCAGGUUCCAUUCUGCCCUCAGUCCUCUUGGCUUCUACAGAAAUACUCCAGUACUGGUGGGCACCAAGUCUUGUGGGAAUUCACUGCUUUUUUUCCAUCUCUGGAGCUGGGUUGAUAAGAAAUUGCCUUCAAGAGAGGCCAUCACAAUACCUCAAUACAUUACUAUUCCCUCACUGUGGGCUAAGAGUGGAGACACCAUAACCUCCCUGGGCAACCUGUGCCAAUGCUCAGUCAACCUCACAGUACAAAAGCGGUUCCUAAUAUUCAGAGAGAACCUUCUGUGUUUCAGUUUGUCCCCAUUGCCUCUUGUCCUGUCACUGGAAACCACCAAAAAGAGCCUGGCUCUAACUUCUUUGCAGCCUCCCUUCAGGUAUUUAUGUGCAUUGAUAAAAUUCCCUUGGAGCCUUCUCUCCACGCUGAAAAGUCCCAGCCCUUCCUCAUAUGAGAGAUUCUCCAACCCUCAAUCUUUUUCUUCAGCUUUUUCCAGAGUCUUUUUAGUAUGUCCAGGUCUCUCUUGUGCUGGGAAGCCCACACCUGGACCAAGAUUCCAGCUGUGACCUCACAAGUGCUGAGUACACUGGAAGGAGCUUGACCUGCUGGCAAUUCUUUGUCUAAUGCAGCCCAUGGUACUAUUUGCCUUCUUUGUCACAAAGGCACACUCCUGGCUUGUGUUCAACUUGGUGUCCAGCAGGACUCACAGAUCCUUUCCUGACAAGGUGCUUUCCAAUGGGGUGCCUCCAGCAUAUCCUGGUGCAUGGGGCUGUUCCUCCUCAGACUUGCUGAGUACACACUUCCCCUUCAUCCAGACCAUCACUGAAGAUAUCAAACAGGACUGAACCCAGCAUAGACCUAAACUCCCAGUCACUGCCUUCCACCUAAACUGUGUCGCCACCCUCUGGGCCCAGCCAUUCAUCCAGUUUUCAAUCCUCCUUACUGUGUCUGCUCAACUCACCCACACAUCAAGAGCUUGUCUAUGGGAUCUAAUGUGAGACAGCAUUGAAGUCCUUGGAGACAUCCAGGUGGAAACUGUCCACUCUUCUUUCCUGAUGUCCAGGCCAGUCAUUUCUUCACAGGAGUUUGUAAAACUGGUCAAGCAUGGCUUCCCCUUAAUGAAACAAUGCUGACUGCU